UGAGGAAUAUUGCACAAUGGGCGAAAGCCUGAUGCAGCGACGCCGCGUGGGUGAAGAAGGUUUUCGGAUCGUAAAACCCUUUUCUGUGUGACGAGAGAGGACGGUAGCACAGGAAUAAGUCUCGGCUAACUACGUGCCAGCAGCCGCGGUAAAACGUAGGAGACAAACGUUAUCCGGAGUUACUGGGCGUAAAGGGCGUGCAGGCGGCAGCCUAAGUCUGGCGUGAAAUAUCCCGGCUUAACCGGGAGAGGUCGUCGGAUACUGGGCAGCUAGAGGGCGGUAGAGGCGUGUGGAAUUCCGGGUGUAGUGGUGAAAUGCGUAGAGAUCCGGAGGAACACCAGUGGCGAAGGCGACACGCUGGGCCGCACCUGACGCUAAGACGCGACAGGCAUGGGGGAGCGA
rnacentral:rRNA from 1 species